rnacentral:sRNA from 1 species
AAUACCUGACCAGAUCCUUUGUCCUGUGUACCACCAAUGAGAAUAGGCGAGAUAAUCCUGUUGCUGAAGUCUGCCCUCGGUAACAAAUAAAAGUUGUGUUUUUGGGUUCAGGGUUGCCUCAUCCCACGUGGAUGACCAAUCCCACGUACGGGGAUCAUUAAACUUCUUGCCAUUGCAGCAGUUUCUCAAGUUGGGUUCUGUGGGUUGUGCCCCUGAAGUUAGGCCAAUUCGGUGGUCUUACAACAUUUGGUGCAUUGGCUGGGAACUGCACUCCCCCAGACCACAAUUGGCAAAGAGUUUGAAGACUCUCUUCUUUAUCUCACCAGCCCACUUGAGAUGCUUGAUAUUAGCUGUUACAGGUCCUCUUUACCACUGAGGAAACCAGAAUCCUACUACAGGCCAGAAAGAAUGUUCCAGGCCUGGAUGGAAGGCCUCAUUCUUACCUGUUGACUUCAAUAUGCAUGAAGGAGUGUGUCUGGAGGAGUCAUUAAAGACCAGGACAGUGAACCCCAACAGGAGGAACUGGGUCACUAGAAGCAAGGGGAUUUGCCAAAUCAAUUGUGAAUAAGAAGUAGACAAUAAAGAAUCUCAUCACGGUAAGUACUUGAAGACAUCCGCUGAACUGUUAUGUCCACUAACCUUUGCUGGGCUUAAAGCUUUUCUGUCCUGAUAACUAUCUUGCCAUGACCCCUCCUUGAAAAAACAAAAUCAUGCCAGCUGGACCCUAGCAUUGGUCCUGAUAAACUUUGGCUUCCUAAUCUCUUGGACCUUGAUAUGGGAAGGUUCCUCUUUGUUGGUUUGGUAUUUGUGUUGUUUUUCCCUUUUCAUUCACACACUCAAUUCUUUUGCUUGAAGCAUUGAUUUCUGCUUGUGUGUUAAAUGUUCUUAAUUGUUCCUUUGUCAACAGUUUGUGUCUGCCAUGUUUUCCUUUGGUUUCAUUUUCUUAUUUGAAACCUUCCCUGUAAGAUAAGGAAUUUCCCUGUGGCACUCCUAUACACUUGUGUAGUAAACUUGGGUCAUCAUCUAUUCUGUUCCACUGCAGCAGGCCCUGGGUGGCUGAAAGCCUCUCAUUUUUAUUAAGGUUCCAGCUACAUAUCCAUGGCCCUAUUUAGGCUGUCCUCAUCUCUGGAACUGACAUGUUGCAGACAGGCAACCCUCAGUCUGUUCACAUUUCAAAAAAAGACAAAAUUUCAUUCUUCAUGGCUGAGCAUGGGCCUCUUCACUUGUCCUCCUUAUAUGCUUCUUGUUGACCACUUGGUUUCUGGAAUUACCCUAAGAUCCUAUGCUGAACACUACGUGAACACAAAACACCAUCUCUAUCAUGCUGAAAUGUAUCUGACCUACAAAGUAAUCUCCUAACAGAUGUACACGUGAAUGUUCAAGAAUAUUGACAGAGGCAUUUAUGUGUGUGUGUGUGUAUGUAUGUAUGUGUGUAUGUAUGUUUGUGCAUGUGGCCUCUGUGUUCCCAUGUGCUGUUAUGGUUCUGACACCAGAGUAAAAUUGGCUUUGUAGGUUGUUUAUAAUGAUCUCAUCCCUUUUGUGAAGCAGCUUGAGCAUUCUUCUUCGUGGCACUUUACAGCCAAUAGUUAAGCUCUGUCACGCCAACCUUGGCUGGCAAGGAAGA